CCAAUAGCGUAUAUUAAAGUUGCUGCAGUUAAAAAGCUCGUAGUUGAAUUUCGGGAUCGAUAUAUCGGUCGUGCCUCGGUACGUACUGGUAUUUUCGGUUUCUACCUUCUGACGAACCUUGAUGUCAUUAAUUUGGUGUCUUGGGGAAUCAGGACUGUUACUUUGAAAAAAUUAGAGUGUUUAAAGCAGGCUCACGCUUGAAUACAUUAGCAUGGAAUAAUGAAAUAGGACGUUUGAUUCUAUUUUGUUGGUUUCUAGGAUCGACGUAAUGAUUAAUAGGGUUAGUUGUGGGCAUUAGUAUUCAAUUGUCAGAGGUGAAAUUCUUGUAUUUAUUGAAGACUAACUACUGCGAAAGCAUUUGCCAAGGAUGUUUUCAUUAAUCAAGAACGAAAGUUAGGGGAUCGAAGACGAUCAGAUACCGUCGUAGUCUUAACCAUAAACUAUGCCGACUAGGGAUCGGAUGAUGUUAAUUUUUUAAUGACUCAUUCGGCGCCUUACG
rnacentral:rRNA from 1 species